UGGAUCAUAUUUGUGACAAAGAACUAUGGGUUAUCAUCAUAAAUGAUGUCGGAAAUGAGGAAGUCAUUGAUGAUGUUGAAUUUAAUAAAGAAGGUGCAAAAGAGAGAGUAAUUUGCAGAUUGUGGUGUUUGUUCUGUGAUUAGUAACGAAAAUCAAAAUCAAAAUUAUGAUGGAGAAAACAAUGAUAAGCUUGACAAUGGGUUGGAGUUGGAAAUAAGUGCUUUUGCAGCCUUGGGUAUGGAUGUCAAAACUGCAGAUGCAAAUAAAAAAAUUGAAAACAUCGAUGACAAUUUAGAAGGCCAGGAUUUCAACAAUAAUGCUGAGAAGGAAUCUAACAACAUUAUUUUCUCAUGCCAUGAGAUUACAUUCUCGAAGAUUCAGGUUGAAUCUGACAUUUUCUCCAUCUGGGAGGUGAAUUUAAUUCAAGAGAAUAGAAUUAAGAAUUCUUUCUUUUCUGCAUAGGAAGGGAUUUAUGUAGAAGCAGCUCUCGUUAAUGGUAAAGAAGAUGAUGACCAUGCAGGUGAUUAACUCACUCUCUUUGAACAAGAAGUUUUGGCUGAUGAGCAAGAACCAAGGCUAAAGCUAUUUUUGUGGCAGAUUAAAUGCAAGAUGAAACAAAGAUUAAACCAAGAUUCAAUUGGGCAUUUGGGAAUGAUCAAAUGCAAGGUGAAGUGGAAUUCUGCAGCACAAGUUUCUAUUUUCCUGUGUAUUUUUAGCUCUUCAAAAUUGCAAGGAUUCAGCUUCAAGCCUUCAAUUAAAUACUUUUCACUGCAAAUAUUACUUAGAUAUAUGCUGAUAGUUGUAGCAGAGAUUUUGUUUUUUAAGUAGUGUUUUUCAGUUUUCUUCCUUGAGUGCAAGGAAGCUUGAGGGGGAGCUAUUAAUAUGUGUCUAAU
rnacentral:misc_RNA from 1 species